AUGUCCUUGCCGAACAGGUGCCUGUCCAGUGACUCAUUCUCCACGUACUCGUACACCAGCAACUUGUGCUUUCCCUCGGAGCAGAACCCCCAGAUCCUCACCAGGUUGAUGUGGUUGAUCCUCCCGAACACCGUCAUCUCCUCCCAGAACUCCUCCUCGCCCUGCACCACGUUUGUCAGCUUCUUCACCGCCACCACGGUGGUCUUAUCAAGCACGCCGCGGUACACCACGCCGGAGCCGCCGCGGCCGAGCUCCUCGUUGAAGUUCCCAGUCGCGUCCUUGAGCUCCCGGGGACCUUAUAAGCUCUUAUUCAAGGACAUCGAGUGA
rnacentral:rRNA from 1 species